AGGGCUAUAACUCAGUAGUAAAGUGCUUGCCUAGCAUUCAAGAAGCCCUGGGUUCAAUCCCCAGCACCACAA
rnacentral:tRNA from 1 species